rnacentral:rRNA from 1 species
CUUGGUGACUUUAGAGAAGGGGAAAUACCUGAUCCCAUCCCGAACUCAGUAGUCAAGCCCUUCAUCGCCGAUGAUACUGUACACAAGAGUACGGAAAAGUAGGACGUUGCCAAGU